GCUGUGACUGCAUCUCUGAGCUUGGCCCUGAGAAGGAAUGGAGACAUCCGCACUGCCAGAUGCAGCCAGCUGUGCACCCCACAGGAGGAACACAUUUCAUUGAGCCGGGGCUUUGGCAAUGACGGGCUCAUCCGACGGCGGAUGCGGUGUCGGCAUCGGGAUCCUGGGAGGUUUUCCUGGGGAGCAGGCUGUCAUCACCCCAGGAGCACCGAGCAGCUCCUCACAGCACGGGAUGGAUCGCAGCAGCCUAACAAGAACACAUCGCUCUCAGGGCUGCAACCAAUAUACGAGUCCAUUGGCAGCAGAUGCCUUUUUCCAUAUGCCUGGCUCUGGGCUGUGUCACCUCUGGCAGUGGGAAAUUACUCCUCUUCCCUGCUGUGGGAGAAGGAGAAGGUUGCUUAAAACAAUUUUGAAUUAUGUAGCCAAGAAGUGUUUCUCCUAGAGCACAGAUAUAAUGUUGGUGUCACAGCAAUUUGAGAUUUCUGUACAACCUCCUCUGAAGCAUCUGAACAUGAGUGAAGAAGCCAAUUGCUGAGCUCCUGCCCCGACACUGUGUUGCUGUGGUGGCACUGGGCACUCUUCGGAGUCUGGUCAGGUCUGAAGUCCUAAAGGGGAGCAGGGAGGACUGUAGACAUCCAAUGGCUCUGAUUCCUGACCUGGGAUCCCAUAUCAUACCUGAAGCCACCUUCAUGCCUUCCCUCCCUUUGUCUCAAAAGCAAUUUCCAACAUCCCUGUGUGUCCCUCUCCAUCACAGCACAGGGGUGAUGUGAUUUAAGCACGUGCCACCUGGCCACAGGCAGGCAUCGAGGUAUCCGUGUGCCAUUCCAGCACAGCCCAAGAUUCCAUCAGCAAAAGCUGGAAUACCAUGCAGUGCAGUAUUACAGAUCAGCUGUCCAAGCAGGACCAGAUGGCACCACCAUGCCAAGGACAACAAACAGUUAUUAAGUUGUCAGACUGAACCAAAGUCAGCCUGAGCUGCUGAGUCCGUGCCAUUUCUGUGCACAAUUCCCAGGAAUAAGCUGUCCCAAAAGACACUGCAGAAAGGCUCCUGGAGAGGACACUUGAACAACUCUCUGUGGGCCACAGGGUGUCCCCCGAGGAGCCUCAGUGCCACAAGAGCUGGGCUGACAGCACUUGGGAUUUUGUACUGGGAUGGAGAUCACCAGGGACGAUUCCCCCGCCACUCUCUGGUUUAGACAAACCCAGCAGGCUUUAUUUCUGAGUGUGUGUAGGAAGGACCAGCGUAACCAUUUUAAGAAACCCAUAAUUAUUGCUGCAUUUGUUCAAAACAGGAACACUGUUCAGAACGUUCAGCUGUGACUCGCUCCUGUAGUUCCACAAAUGCAGCAUUCACUUUAAUAUGUGAGACUCAUAACCAGCUCACACAGUGCAAUAGUUCACUUCAGUUUGAAGAAAAAAAAAAUUCUGCUGGAAGCACAGGCAAGUAGCAGUGUCAAUUUUUCAUUAACCUACAGCCACUGUCUCUGUAGACUUACAGCCAUAAGUAAGAUUACUGUUAUAAAUUCUUCUGGUCCCUAAGGUGGGGGGACAAAAAACUUCUCAAAACUUUUAAGGUCAUUAAAAAAAAUCCACCUUUAAAUUGGAGGUAGUUUCAGUUUACUUUCAUAUUUCAAAAUCAAAUCUUAGCUUCAGCCUCACAUCAAAGCAGAAAUGUCAGUCGCUUUGUUUCUACAUCUCCUGUGAAAGAAGUUCCAGCUUAUACAUGAGCUGAAUGCCAAGUAAAUAGAUUUUCCUUGGGAACAAAGGCACCUUUUUUUUUUUUGUUUGUUUUAAACAUAUGUAAAUAGAGUCCCAGAAGCUGAGCUGCCUGUCACUUCAACCAGGUUUACACUCAUGUCACUCCAGCUGGUUAUUUCUGACCGCCCUUAGGUCAGAACUGCAGAAGUUUCCCUCCCCACUCCUCCAC